GCCAGGCAUGGUGGCAUGUGCUUGUAGUCCCAGUUACUAGGGAGGCUGAGAUGGGAGGAUCACUUGAGCCCAGGAGUUCUGGGCUGUAGUGUGCUAUGCCAUUCGGGUGUCCGCACUAAGUUCGGCAUCAAUAUGGUGACCUCCCAGGAGCGGGGGACUACCAGGUUGCCUAAGGAGGGGUGAACUGGCACAGGUCAGAAACAGAGCAGGUCAAAAUUCCCGUGCUAAUCAGUAGUGGGAUGGCACCUGUGAAUAGCCACUGUACUCCAGCCUGGGCAACAUAGUGAGACCCUGUCUCU
rnacentral:SRP_RNA from 1 species